GCCUGGAUAGCUCGGUUGAUUAGAGCAUGAUGCUGGUAACACCGAGAUUGCAGGUUUGAUCCCUGAACGGGGCA